AAAAAAAAAAAAAAAAAAAAAGGGAAGACUAGGAGAGGGUUUGGGAGGAUCGAGGAGCCGCAGCAAAGACUUCGUCCAGAGUCGAGGGAAGCUGACUUCGUGAAGAAACUUUGCAGAAAUCUGGGAAUCGUCUGAGAACAGUAGGCGAACUUCUAUGGCUCAAAUCUCAUUCUAUGUUGAGACUAAAAUCACUAGCCCUCAACACGAUCUAGAACUUUAUCGAAGGAACCAUAUCGAUCCGAGCUCCGGGUCAAAAGAUAUGAAAAUCGAAAAACGGUAGAUUGGAAAAGAGCUACGGAUUGCCGGAGAGAAAAGAGGCGCCAAGCGGCGGAGCGCGGUCGGCAGAUGGUGACACGUGUUGAGCGUCGGCUGGAGCGAAGCAGCUCCAGCGGAACGAUGAUGCGGGUCACCCAUAGAAACCAAGCUGAACCGCAGCGAACCGGACCGCUGGACAAACCGACCCGACCCGCGACUGCGUGAAGCGGUCCGCGCGUGGCCAUCGAGCGUGCAGCCUGCAUUUGGCGUCCUUUCCCGCGCGUGGCUAGCACGUGGUCGGCGUGUGAGGGCGUGGACCUAAUUGAGGAUAAUCAGUGUUUUUGGACACCCUACGAGCGUAGAGACGCUAGCGAAAGGAUUCGCGUCAACCAAGUAAGUCACCACCCAAUAUUUAGGAAGAAAUACUUGUAGGAUUCGCUUGGAUUACAUGCAUGCUAGUAUAUUUGCCUUAGAUUAGCUUUCCAUGAAUGAGAUUAGGCAAGUCGAUUGUUACGGGCGUAUUGGGAGAAUUACCUGGGUGUUGCUUGUAUGUUUAAGCUUCCGCUAUACAGAUGCACAUGCUUAAUUCAUGUUGAAUAGGUGAACUUCGCGUUUCGGACACUUGAGGGAUGACAUCACCCCGUUGAGUGCAAUCUCUGCUUUCCGAGUUCCUGAUGGAGGCCAUCGCCCCAUUGAGUUUGCAUGUCUAAUUUGCAUGAAUCAUGUGUAAUGAUGUUAGAUGGUGGUUACAUGCACACUGUUAUUUUUUACAUUUGCCUUGAUUAGCUCUCCAUGAAUGAGACUAAGUAGAUCGAUUGUUAUGAGCUUUUUUGAUAACUCUCUAAAAGUAGAGUCAUAUCAAGUCUUUUUGUAGUUAAUACUACACUCUUAUUCACCAUUUUCUCAUUUAUUACCCCAUUUAUUCUACUUAGUGAGCAUGAAAUCGUUUAUUGCGGUCCUACAUGAAAAAAAAAAAUGAUUUGGCAUAAAUCGAUCUUAAUUGUACAUUUAAUUGAGUUAUGUGGUAAAAUUUCAAACAUCUAUGCUGAACCAUGAGAGAGUAGCAAAUUUGGAAACAAAUGGGGGAUGACAUAGAAAUUCUCCACAUCAUCAGCCGUCCAAGUGGGUCAUUGACUACCCAAUGAGGAACAUCCUAUGUGGACAACUUAUUCCUUUUCAGCCCUAAAGAAGAACUCAUGCUCAAUAGAGAAGGAAAAAGAAGACCAAGAGGAGGGUGACACACUUUGGGAGAAAAAAAAAAAAAACAGAUUAGACAGCAGUGCCUCUGCUGUUGUGAACUGCUGUGAAACCAAA